rnacentral:rRNA from 1 species
CAGCCGUAAACAAUGUGCGUUAGGUGUGUCGGUAACCACGCGUUACUGAUGCGCCGAAGAGAAAUCGUGAAACGCACCACCUGGGAAGUACGGUCGCAAGGCUGAAACUUAAAGGAAUUGGCGGGGGGAGCACCACAACAGGUGGAGCCUGCAGUUUAAUUGGAUUCAACGCCGGACAUCUCACCGGAUAAGACAGCUGAAUGAUUGUCAAUCUGAAGGUUUUACAUGACUAGCUGAGAGGUGGUGCAUGGCGUCAGUGACU